rnacentral:rRNA from 1 species
CAGCCGCCACGGUAAUACGAAGGGUGCAAGCGUUAAUCGGAAUUACUGGGCGUAAAGCGUGCGCAGGCGGUCCGCUAAGACAGAUGUGAAAUCCCCGGGCUUAACCUGGGAACUGCAUUUGUGACUGGCGGGCUAGAGUAUGGCAGAGGGGGGUAGAAUUCCACGUGUAGCAGUGAAAUGCGUAGAGAUGUGGAGGAAUACCGAUGGCGAAGGCAGCCCCCUGGGCCAAUACUGGCGCUCAUGCACGAAAGCGUGGGGAGCAGACAGGAUUAGAGACCCGUGUAGUCCCUGUCUCUUAUAC